GUUCCGGUAGCUCAGCGGUGGAGCACUCGGCUGUUAACCGAGCGGUCGCAGGUUCGAUCCCUGCCCGGAACG
rnacentral:tRNA from 1 species